UACGUAGGGACCAAGCGUUGUUCGGAUUUACUGGGCGUAAAGGGCGCGUAGGCGGCGUGACAAGUCACUUGUGAAAUCUCUGAGCUUAACUCAGAACGGCCAAGUGAAACUGUUGUGCUAGAGUGCAGAAGGGGCAAUCGGAAUUCUUGGUGUAGCGGUGAAAUGCGCAGAUAUCAGGAGGAACACCAAUUGCGAAGGCAGCUCGCUGGGACGUUACUGACGCUGAGACGCGAAAGCGUGGGGAGCAAACAGG
rnacentral:rRNA from 1 species